UACGGAGGGUGCAAGCGUUGUUCGGAAUUAUUGGGCGUAAAGAGCAUGUAGGCGGUCUGUUUAGUCUGAUGUGAAAGCCCGGGGCUCAACCCCGGAAGUGCAUUGGAAACUGGCAGACUUGAGUAUGGGAGAGGAAAGUGGAAUUCCGAGUGUAGGAGUGAAAUCCGUAGAUAUUCGGAGGAACACCAGUGGCGAAGGCGGCUUUCUGGACCAAUACUGACGCUGAGAUGCGAAAGCGUGGGUAGCAAACAGG
rnacentral:rRNA from 1 species